ACACUGCAGCAAUUUGCUGCUUCCUUCUCCAUCUCACUUUAGGAUUAAAUGACUUGCCCAGGAUGACACAGCUAGCGAUUCCUCUCCCAGAGCUCUGUCCACUGCGUCACCUGGUUAUUUCUAGAUCUGCAGUGCUCAAGGUCAGCCAGUCAUGGAUUAAAUUAUUUCCUGUUCCCUGAGAGGCCAGCCCCGUCUUUCCUUUCCAACGGAAUCUGUGGAUGGUCUGAGGAGAGACAGCUGUGGAGGACCGUAAGCCGCUAAAGAGAGUUUCAUGCCUAACAGGAAAUGUCUCACAAAAAGAAAUAUUUUGAUGAAGAAAGUGGAAGAAUAUUUCUGAAGAUGCUGCUGCAAGUGCAGAGUGAACUCAGCCAAGUCCCACUAGAAGAGGGAAGCAAAUUCAUUUUAUUGUCUUCUUAUUUUUAAGCUGUGGGAGAGGAGAACCCUUAAAGAAUGGGUUCUUGGCUUGGGAGGUGGGCAAGGGGAAGGAAAUGAUGAAAGUGACAACAGAAAUAAAGUAAAGGGACCCGAUUCUCUCUUUUACUUCCAUUUUCUCUACCAGUGAGUUCUAUGCUUUAGAAUGGGAAAGGAGAGAACAUCAAAGGGCUGACUGGUAGCCCACGCAGGAGCUGAGCAGAGAUAUCAAGGACAGGAAUAAUCAAGGCCCAGAAGAAGAUGCAGAUGUAACUGCUGAUGCAUUGUCAGGGAAAUCUGAAGCAUCACUGGAGAGGAGAGUCAAGUCCUUGAUUCCUGAGCUGGGGCUUUGUUCCAGGGCCAGCUCCUCUUCCCUCUGCUGCACCUUCGGGUGAAGUUCUCCACCUGGGCUUGCCUCCCACCAUUAGGCUUCCAGAAUGCUGGAUCUUUGGGUCCCUUUCUAGCACCUCAGAUGCCAGGGACUUCAGAGCCACUGAGCAAUCUUUUGUAGGAGUGCUGGGGCCAUAAUGGUUGCUGUUUACCCCCUCCGUUCUCGAAGACUUUGAGGCUUUUUAGAGGCCUUCAUUCUCCCUUCCUUCAGGUAAGAGCUCUGCAGACUCUAAGUGUUUCCUGGUCUGUCUCUCAUCGCUGAGAAUCUCUUCCAUCUUGGCACUGGCUUUGGUGAUAGAUUCCUUUUCCAAUUGCCCUCUGGUUUCUGGUUGACUUUUGUCCAGUUAU